rnacentral:rRNA from 1 species
UACCAGCACCCCGAGUGGUCGGGACGUUUAUUGGGCCUAAAGCAUCCGUAGCCGGUUCUACAAGUCUUCCGUUAAAUCCACCUGCUUAACAGAUGGGCUGCGGAAGAUACUAUGGGGCUAGGAGGCGGGAGAGGCAAGCGGUACUCGAUGGGUAGGGGUAAAAUCCGUUGAUCCAUUGAAGACCACCAGUGGCGAAGGCGGCUUGCCAGAACGCGCUCGACGGUGAGGGAUGAAAGCUGGGGGAGCAAACCGG